AUCGUGGUUUGUUUUUGGGUAUUUUUAUUGCACACCUCUUUGUUUGUAUUUUUAUUCUUGUUUUUGUUGUUGUGUCGUAUUCUUGCUCGAUGUGUAGAUGAGCAAUGUGAUAGCUUUUUAGCCGACAGCCUGACGGUAUGACUGCAUCACCGGCAUUUCGAAUACAGCAACUUUUAUCGAUUUUUCACUGUAUCAACGCCUCGGUGUAGUAUUUAGGCUGAGAAGGCUCGGUGCACCGUAUGUGACGGGCGAGAGGGAUGUUGUUCUUUUUAUUAAUAUUGCUUUGGGUCAUUUGCUCUUUAUUAUACACAGAAUCAUCUACUACACCUUGCUAAGGAAAUUUUCAAAGACCAGCGACGUUCAUUGUAACACUUCCGUUUACUAAAGAAUACAAAUUUUUCAGUGCAACGCCUUUCAUUGUCGCCAAACCGAUGACCGAAUUACUACUUUCACUGGAAAUUCAAUGACGGAAAAGGAUAUGGGAAGGAAGGAUAAUAAGUGAUUGACACCUUGCCAUUGUGAAUGGUUGAUGCAAACUAAUUUUUUUUUUCAAAAGUGCUAGCGCAAUUAGUCAAAUAUUUUUAUUUUAUCUAUUUAUUCUCGAGAUAAUCUCCUCAAGUUGAAUAGGAAUCAAAAUAUAUGAGAGCACUGUUUUUAUUUGCAGGAUGUUUUGAAAUGGUUUCUAAUGAUAUUGUGAAUAUUAAUGUUUCCACCAGAUGUGUUUAACGAUGGCUGUGUUUAUUUGGAGAAUAUAAAUUAUAAACGAAUUUAUCGAUGUGCUUGCUGGAAAUAUCUGAAAGGCCAAAUAUAAAUUUAUUAUUGUUUGCCCUUUCCUCGAUAAAAUAUACAAAAUAACAUUAACAGGUAA